GCGAUAAUAACUCAGCUGGGAGAGUGUCAGACUGAAGUCAAACUUCAAUCUCGAAAUCUGAAAGUCCUGUGUUCAAUCCACAGUUGUCGCA
rnacentral:tRNA from 1 species